rnacentral:rRNA from 1 species
CCUACGGGAGUCAGCAGUGAGGAAUAUUGGUCAAUGGGCUUACGCCUGAACCAGCCAAGUCGCGUGAGGGAAGACUCCCCUAUGGGUUGUAAACCUCUUUUGUCAGGGAGCAAUUGGUGCUACGUGUAGCGUAAUAGAGAGUACUUGAAGAAAAAGCAUCGGCUAACUCCGUGACAGCAGCCGCGGUAAUACGGAGUAUGCACGCUUUAUCAGGAUUUAUUGGGUUUAAAGGGUGCAUAGGCGGAAUGACAAGUCAGCGGUAAAGUCGCCGGGCUCCAGCUCGCUCCGCCGUUGAUACUGGCGUUCUUGAGUGGGCGAGAAGUAUGCGGAAUGCGUGGUGUAGCGGUGAAAUGCAUAGAUAUCACGCAGAACUCCGAUUGCGAAGGCAUCAUACCGGCGCCCGACUGACGCUGAUGCACGAAAGCGUGGGUAUCGAACAGGAUUAGAUACCCCAGUAGUC